GAUGAACGCUGGCGGCGUGCCUAAUACAUGCCAGUCGAGCGAACAGACGAGGAGCUUGCUCCUCUGACGUUAGCGGCGGACGGGUGAGUAACACGUGGAUAACCUACCUAUAAGACUGGGAUAACUUCGGGAAACCGGAGCUAAUACCGGAUAAUAUAUUGAACCGCAUGGUUCAAUAGUGAAAGACGGUUUUGCUGUCACUUAUAGAUGGAUCCGCGCCGCAUUAGCUAGUUGGUAAGGUAACGGCUUACCAAGGCAACGAUGCGUAGCCGACCUGAGAGGGUGAUCGGCCAAACUGGAACUGAGACACGGUCCAGACUCCUACGGGAGGCGGCAGUAGGGAAUCUUCCGCAAUGGGCGAAAGCCUGACGGAGCAACGCCGCGUGAGUGAUGAAGGUCUUCGGAUCGUAAAACUCUGUUAUUAGGGAAGAACAAAUGUGUAAGUAACUAUGCACGUCUUGACGGUACCUAAUCAGAAAGCCACGGCUAACUACGUG
rnacentral:rRNA from 1 species